CAAUAAUAGGAAGCCAAAAACCAGAGAGAUUCUUUUUUUUAAGGGAGCUGUCAAAAUUAGUAGGGACGUUCUGACAUUAGCUCUUGACAAUUUAAAAAUAAUCGGUUUUUUCUAGUGCCAUCUUUCAGUGACAUUGACAGUAUUGUAUUGACACUUGUUGGUUUACAAAUACAAUAAAAUGAAUUCUAAUAAAAGAAACAGUAGACUCAGUAGAGGUACGAGGUACUGAAAAAAUAUUAAUUAAUGGAGAAGCCGAAGUUGGAGGAAAACAAGAAGAUUCGAGGAGAAUGGUGUGGCACUUAAUGCCGCCGGGACAGUAACCUAGCUGCAGCUCCAACUCUAGGGAAUUGGGCUGAAUGAACGCAACACGUGAUCGACAGCCCACCUGCUUCCUGCCGAGCGUCCCUACACUACAUCUACAUGGAUUCGCUUAUUCUGCUCUACAAAACUUCUAAAACAAUACAAAUAAUACAGGAAGAAGAGAUUAAACAACAGGCGGUCUUAUCGCUAAAAAGCGAUCUCUUCCAGACAACCUUACUACUUUUGAGGAGCUGAUACAAGCAGCCAGAAUGAGUCUCUGCUGAGUCGCCGGCGCCGGACGUGCGUCGCGCGCCUCGGGCGACUGACGUCUUCGUGUGAGUCGCCAAUUGCAGGGGAAGAUACGAAUAGUUAGGUAUAAAAGCUACUUUAGUCAACCUCGCCUCAGUACUGUUUGUAUUGACUGAAAUACAAGUAGCAUAUAUGAGACGUUCGGACUUAUCCGUGAAAAUACGAAGGUAAAGGAAAUUGCACUACAUUUUUAGAACCUAUUCACCUGUCAGUAAAAUAUUGAAAAGGAAAGUUCAUGAGUUUUAUUAUUUUCUUUCCUCCAACAGCUUCACAUGGAGCAAAUGUAAACCUUUUAUGUUAAUAAUAUCAGUAAUGUCAAGGUACAACGCUCUUUAGAGCAUAUUGCCAUUCCUUUUACUCGAGUGGCCUGUGGGUUAACUAUACGAAGCGAGCCUACGAUGCAUUAAAAGUGCAGUAUAACAAUGCAUUCAGAAUGCUGUUGGGCUUACCUCGUAGAUGUAGUGCAUCUGGCAUGUUUUGCGAAGCUAGAAGUUUUCUGGCAAUCAUGCGCAAGAAAAUAGUAUCUCUGCUAGGUCGAGUUAGAAGCAGUCCCAAACAUACAUGUUCGAAAAGUAGAACUCCCUUAGUAGGCCAAGCAAUAAGAAGUUAUAGAGGGAAAUGCUAGGAACACAAUUUUUGACUACGUAACUUUGUUUGGACUAGUUAGGAGGUGAACAUAUCAAAAGUCCCCGGCUGUAGCCCCGGUGCUGGGGGGUAGACUAGUUAUAGUCCAAACAAAGUUACGGAGUCAAAAACUGUGUUCCUAGCAUUUCCCUCUACAACGUUUUUUGAGCAUUCAUUUCCUGACCUAUAGAUCGUGUUUCAAUUUAUCGCCUCUCGUUGGCAAUUAAGGUGGUUCGCUUUCCAUACAAAAAAAAACAAUUACAUAAGUACCUAAUAGUGUGUAAUUACUUAAUAUAACGCAAUUGUUUUUUGUAUGGAAAGCGAACCACCUUAACUAUUCGCACAACGUUUUGUAGUUGCAGUAAGUACUUACAUAUGGCCGGUUAAAUUUUCGAAAUAGGUAUGUAUUUACGUACAGUGCUAAUUGCCGCACAUAGAAUAAUUAAAGUUUGAUCAAUCGGAAUAUGUUCCUAAGUCACUUAUUACAUUUCGAAUUAUAAGUCUGUAUUUUACAGCUUUAGAUGUGCAUGACUGCAUAUGCACAUCUAAAGCUGAAAAAUGCUUUCAUGAAAUUAUGGCUAAAUUAUGUUAAUAGGGACAAAUGUAUCAUUUUCAACCAAAUGGGUUCUUAUUAUCUGUUGUCAAUAAGGCGCUAUUUCCAUAAAGCUUCAAUUUGAAAUCAGCCUCGUCGACAACCGACAAUGUUAACCUUUUGGUUGAAAACGUCACAAAUUAUGGCGAUAGAGAAUACAAUGUUCUGUUGCCAGAGUGCAGCACUAGUAAAACCCGUAAACGAGUGAAUUGCAAAAAAGUGUAGGUAACACAAUGGAAUAUUCACAAAAAUAUGAAAGAAUGUAACACAAAAUGAAGAAAAUGUAUGUGUUUUUUUUGUGUUACGUCACACAAAGGACGCCAAAAUCGACGCCGCAAUAUUUUUCACGACGUGUAGAAUAAAAGUGGCGUCGAAUUCAGGAAUCCGCAAAUACUAUGGUAGCCGAUAGCCAAGUAAUUUAUUAAUAGAACAAUGUUAAAACAGUAGUAGAAACGGUGAGCUUUGCAAACUUUUAGUAGAUUGGUUUGGUUUUGGUAGAUUUCUCGGUUUGGCAUGCUUGAUGCUCUUCACAUCACCACAGACGGAGGUCGACAGUUCGAAUCUGUCUUGUUCAACCAAUUGAUGGAGGCACAUGCACGCAUACGAAGUAUACGAACCACAUAUUACACUACCAUCCUGGAGCUAAUUGGAUUAUUUGCAUCUACUAUUAUAGUAUAUACCUAUGCCUUAUUUUUACGCCUAAGACCCUAAGCUUUUAACAAAAACCAUUAUUUCUUUUAUACCUACGGGCGGUUUAGCUCCCGUACCUACCUCUAUUAUACCUAGCCACGUGCUAAAGCAACAAUGUCCUUUAAAUCCGUAUCCCGUAUCGUGAUAGUAUUAAGAUUCAACUCGUCUACAUCGAGGUGGUCGAUCGUCCUAAAUACAUUACCAAAACAUGUUAACUCGUAUGAGCCGUUACAUAGAUUUGAACCUUAAUACUAUCAUGAUAAUUAUUGAUUAAUAUUUUUAAAUAAUUUGUUAAGCAUAUUUACACUUGCAAAUAUACACUUGCAGCAUUCUAAUAUUAUGGUAUGGUAAACAUAUAACAUGUUAUAUAUUCGCGAUUCAUGUCAACAGCCCCGUCGUCAGGCCCCCGCCACCCGCGCCCGCCCCCGCCCGCGCCCC